rnacentral:lncRNA from 1 species
CCUUUCCCUUUGCCCCCCUUCCCCUUGGCCUCUGCAUCCUUUUUGGGCUCCCCCUUCUUGCCAACCAUCCCGGCGGUGGCGGGCGCUCAUGCUCCGGCCCCGGCGGGGCCCUGCGAGACGAUGCCCCGUGCCGACACAAGGCAGGUCCCGGCACGCCGGCUGGCUCCCAACCCCACAGCCUGCCCCGGGAGGGUAUUUACCUGCACCCAGUUUCGGCAAGACACGUGCCCGCGGGUGGCUCCCUCGGCCGCCGGCGUCCCCCCGCUUGGCAUGGCGCUGGGGCAGCGGGCCGGCAGCCCCGGGGCAGCCCGGCGGGAGCUGCCUCCUGCCUCCCACGGCACCCCACGAGUUAGGCAGCGCGGUGCUGGCAGAUGGGCUCCGUCUGUAACCCAACCGCCGGGGCUCGCGGUGGCAUGAAUAAUGUAAGGGAUGCGCCGCCUCAACCGGAGACUUUUCCAAAGGAGCAGGAAAGGGCACCCGUGGCGGGGAGCAUCCCCCCGGGGGGGGGGGACACACGACGCUGCAGGGGAUGGCACAGAGCGCCGUCACCACCCCAAAACCAGACCCUACUGCCUCUCCGUGCCUUGGGGCUCACUGUGCUCUGCUGGGGAAUCAGCCUCUUCCUCCAGCCAGCUUGGAGGAGGACAAAGCCCAGGGAACCGUUUGAGCCCGCAAAGCCAAACCGUGGCACCAAGGGAGAGGAGACAAUUUUGCAGAGCCCAAGGCACGUGCCGCCCCGGCACCGGAGCACGGCCAAGGGGAACGCCGCAGAAGAGGAACCCAACACCAGACCAAAUCCCACAGCCCUGCUGGGAAGCAGAGAGGAGCCAGGAGCCCACAGGGGUACCCCCCACGCCACGCCACACCACGCCACGCACAUCGCUCGUGCAUGCAGGGUGCCACGCGUGCCCACACGCAGCUGGCGAGGGGGUUUGCCUGUGCCACACGUGUGCCCCGCGACGGUGCUGGCAGCGUGUUUGCACACACACGUGCCCAGGCGCAGGGUGACCGCAUCAAAUGUUAAUGCCAGGGCUGGACUCCUGUGGCUGCAGGUUCAUGAAAGUUUAAGCAGCGGCGGUGGGAACUUGCUGCCCCGCACGGAUCACCUGCGGGCAGCG